AUAUUCAAACCCCCUCGAUCCAAGAUUCGAUAGCGUACGCGACGCCCCGACCUCGAUUCCUGCCCCCAUUCCUAUCUUUCCUCUCUCCCCUCUCUCCUUCUCUCUCUCAAUCCUCGCCCUUUGGUUUAUCUCUAUCUCGUAGUUUCCUUCUUACCAAAGUUUAUUCCUCUCUUUCCUCCGGCUCGAAAGAUCCUCCUUAUUCCCACUUUAUUCUGCUCCCCCUUCCGGUCCGUUCGAAGCGAUACCCAUUGUAUUUCAGCGCCUCGGUCGUCCGAAGCUUCACUUGUUCUCGUGCUGUUGUUCUCCAUGGAUUUGGAAGAGCGGGCACGGAGAUGCCAGGAGUACGUGGAGGCGCUCGAGGAGGAGCGGCGGAAGAUCCAGGUCUUCCAGCGUGAGCUCCCCCUCUGUCUCCAACUCGUCAACCAAGGUUCGUAUCUUUCUCUCCUCUUUUGUUCUUGCUUUUUUUGUGGGGGUUUAUUCUUGGAAUAGGCUGGUGAUUUGGGUUGUGGUGGUGGUGAUUGCAGCGAUAGAGAGCAUUAGGAUGCAGAUGGGGAGCAGUGAGGAGACGGUGACGGACGAGCCCGUGCUGGAGGAGUUCAUCCCCUUGAAGCCGACCUCCUCUUCGAUCGAAGAGGAGAAAGGUGGCUCCAUGGAGAUAAAUCAAGAGAGAUCAGAUAAGAAGCCAGAUUGGCUCCGAUCCGUCCAGCUCUGGAACCAAGACCCCGAUCUCUCGCUCCCUAAAGCGGUGAGGGAGAUAUCUUCGUGUUUGGCUCUAAUUUCUUUGUUCUUCGUUUUAUUCCUCUAAAUCGUACUUUCUUGGCACGCUAGGAGCCUCCGAAGAAGCCGAUCGCGGUGAAUGCGAAGAAGAUCGGUGGAGCCUUCCGCCCAUUUGACAGAGAAAAGCACGUCCCAG
rnacentral:lncRNA from 1 species